GGACUACCCGGGUAUCUAAUCCUGUUUGAUCCCCACGCUUUCGUGCCUCAGCGUCAAUAUCUGUUUAGCAAGCUGCCUUCGCAAUUGGUGUUCUAAGUCAUAUCUAUGCAUUUCACCGCUACAUGACUUAUUCCGCCUACCUCAACAGAAUUCAAGACUAAUAGUAUCAAUGGCAGUUUCCAGGUUGAGCCCGGAGAUUUCACCACUGACUUAAAAGCCCGCCUACACACCCUUUAAACCCAGUAAAUCCGGAUAACGCUUGCACCCUCCGUAUUACCGCGGCUGCUGGCAC
rnacentral:rRNA from 2 species